GAGGAGUGGCGAACGGGUGAGUAACACGUGGGUAACCUGCCCAUCAGAAGGGGAUAACACUUGGAAACAGGUGCUAAUACCGUAUAACAAUCGAAACCGCAUGGUUUCGUUUUGAAAGGCGCUUUACGGUGCCGCUGAUGGAUGGACCCGCGGUGCAUUAGCUAGUUGGUGAGGUAACGGCUCACCAAGGCCACGAUGCAUAGCCGACCUGAGAGGGUGAUCGGCCACAUUGGGACUGAGACACGGCCCAAACUCCUACGGGAGGCAGCAGUAGGGAAUCUUCGGCAAUGGACGAAAGUCUGACCGAGCAACGCCGCGUGAGUGAAGAAGGUUUUCGGAUCGUAAAACUCUGUUGUUAGAGAAGAACAAGGGUGAGAGUAACUGUUCACCCCUUGACGGUAUCUAACCAGAAAGCCACGGCUAACUACGUGCCAGCAGCCGCGGUAAUACGUAGGUGGCAAGCGUUGUCCGGAUUUAUUGGGCGUAAAGCGAGCGCAGGCGGUUUCUUAAGUCUGAUGUGAAAGCCCCCGGCUCAACCGGGGAGGGUCAUUGGAAACUGGG
rnacentral:rRNA from 1 species